GGAAGACCGUUCUCCAACGUACGAAGAAUUGUUGCAUUCCUCACGUUAUGAUGGAUGCUAGAAUAUAUUUUUUCAAAAAGGAUUUAUCUCUGUAUUCGUGAUCAUUUGCCGAAAACAACAAUGCUAGGCUCCGUGAAGUCCAGUAUAUGCAUCAUAACGAGGGCUGAAGAACGAGAAAUUGAUAGAAGAUCCACAGAAAGGGAAUAUAAGAUGUAGAAGAGAUCCAUGAAUCUGCGAAGACCACUUGGUACCAGUCUCACUCUCUGGUGCCCAGAGUAGCCAGUUCUGCAACUCUGUAAGUAAAUUUGUAAUUCUGUAAGUAAAUUUGCAUUACA